GGUCAGCUGACACAUCCCUGCCAAUCUCCGGCAGACCCUCCCUCCCAGACCCUCCUACUUCCUAAACAGCAUCCAUGUUGAAGGCAGCUUCAACAUGGAUGCUGUCCAGGAGGUGGGAGGGUCUGGGAGGGAGGGUCUGCCGGAGAUUGGCAGGGAUGUGUCAGCUG